AAAAAUAAUAGGACCAAAUAGAAGAACAUCAGCACAUGCAAUUCAGCCUAUAAACUCAAUAAUAGAUAUUCUAAGUUCCACCUUGAACCACUAAGCCCUGAUUUGUGCACCCAACCUAGCCUAAAAUUAAGCAUGAACCAACACUGACAUACUUCAUAUUCUCAACACUUUCCUCAAUUUGCAUAUACAAGCUAUAAGGAAGUAAAGUAUUGCAACAGUAGUCAUUUAACUGGUUGAAAACAUGCACUAAUCAAAAUUCGCUUAUGUGUAGGGAAACCAACCUAUGGUCUAAGAGAUGUGA
rnacentral:lncRNA from 1 species